rnacentral:rRNA from 1 species
UACGAGAGGUGCAAGCGUUAUUCGGAAUUAUUGGGCGUAAAGGGUGCGUAGACGGUACGUUAAGUCAACUGUUAAAUUCCCCGGCUUAACUGGGGGCAAGCGGUAGAAACUGGCGUUCUAGAGGGUGGAAGAGAGAAGUGGAAUUCUCGGAGUAGCGGUAAAAUUCGUAGAUCUCGAGAGGAACACCGAUGGCGAAGGCAGCUUCUUGGUCCACAUCUGACGUUGAGGCACGAAAGCGUGGGGAGCAAACAGG